rnacentral:rRNA from 1 species
GUCGCGCGCGAGCUCCUUGGAGUCGGGUUGCUUGGGAGUGCAGCCCCAAUCGGGUGGUAAACUCCACCUAAGGCUAAAUACCGCCGUGAGACCGAUAGCAAACAAGUACCGUGAGGGAAAGUUGCAAAGAACUUUGAAGAGAGAGUUCAAGAGUACGUGAAACUGCUCAGAGGUAAACGGGUGGGCCCUCGAAAUCCUGCGGCGAGAGGAUUCAGUGCGGCCGGAGGAGUGCGAGCCGCGGUUCCACGAAGGCCCCUAGAGCGGGGGUCGUUCCGCGGCGACGCUCCGCAGGUCGCACGCAUUUGUCUCUCGUCCACUGGGACGCUGCGGCCGGUUCGGUAGCGAAAGCGCGACGGCCUGAAGGUCGGGGAGAGGCAGGGGGCCGGCGGUCCGCAAGUGGAGAUCGCCGGUCGCUGGCCACCCCGUCAGUGGCAAGUCGCCGGACCGAGGUCUAUAGGAGUCCCCUCGGGGACUCUCGUCUCCGUCCCCCCGUCGGUUGCGGGAUACACGCAGGCGGGCGACCGACGCCUACUGGCCGCACCGCCCCUCAGGCGGUGGGCCGAAUGGCGUCGGGCGUCGCCGGUCGGCGAGGACCCGUGCGGGGAUCGGAGGCCCGCAGCGAGUAGGUCGGUCACCCACCCGACCCGUCUUGAAACACGGACCAAGGAGUCUAACAUGUGCGCGAGUCGGCGGGUCA